GCAAGCUACUAAGUGCGAUCGGUGGAUGCCUUGGCACCAAGAGCCGAUGAAGGACGUUGUAACCUGCGAUAAGCCCAGGGGAGUUGGUAAACGAGCUGUGAUCCUGGGAUUUCCGAAUGGGGUAACCUUGAUUCCGGAGUUGUGUCCGGUGACCUCUGCCUGAAUGUAUAGGGUAGUUGGAGGGAACGCGGGGAAGUGAAACAUCUCAGUACCCGUAGGAAGAGAAAACAAUAGUGAUUCCGUGAGUAGUGGCGAGCGAAAGUGGAUGAGGCUAAACCUGUGCCGUGUGAUAGCUGACAGGUGUUGCGGUGCGGGGGUUGUGGGAUGCGAUGUGGUCUGGCUGUUGACGGGCCGGCGAGUUAUAAAUGAUGGAUGAAGUUGAACUGGUUGGAAAGCUGGAGCGUAGAGGGUGAUACUCCCGUAGGCGUAUGUCUGUCACUCGUUGUCGUUUUUCCCAAGUAGCACGGGACUCGUGGAAUUUCGUGUGAAUCUGGCAGGACCAUCUGCUAAGCCUAAAUACUCCUUGGUGACCGAUAGUGUAUUAGUACCGUGAGGGAAUGGUGAAAAGUACCCCGGGAGGGGAGUGAAAUAGUACCUGAAACCGGUCGCAUACAAUCCGUCGGAGCUUCUGCGUUUUUGUGUGGGUGACGGCGUGCCUUUUGAAGAAUGAGCCUGCGAGUUAGUGGUGCGUGGCGAGGUUAACCUGUGUGGGGUAGCCGUAGUGAAAGCGAGUCCUAAUAGGGCGGUUUAGUCGCGUGCUCUGGACCCGAAGCGGGGUGAUCUAUCCAUGGCCAGGGUGAAGCGAAGGUAAGACUUCGUGGAGGCCCGAACUCACUUGGGUUGAAAACCGAGGAGAUGAGCUGUGGAUAGGGGUGAAAGGCCAAUCAAACCCCGUGAUAGCUGGUUCUCCCCGAAAUGCAUUUGGGUGCAGCGUCCCGUGCUCCCCGGCGGAGGUAGAGCUACCGGUUGGCUGAUGGGCCCCACAGGGUUACUGGCGUCAGCCGAACUCCGAAUGCCGUCGGGCGGUGAGCGGGGCAGUGAGACCGCGGGGGAUAAGCUUCGCGGUCGAGAGGGGAACAGCCCGGAUCGCCGGCUAAGGCCCCCAAGCGCGCGCUAAGUGGGAAAGGAUGUGCGGUCGCGGUGACAACCAGGAGGUUGGCUCAGAAGCAGCCAUCCUUGAAAGAGUGCGUAAUAGCUCACUGGUCAAGUGGUCGUGCGCCGACAAUUGAGCGGGGCUCAAGCGCGCCGCCGAAGCCGCGGAUCCGCCGCGAUGGGCUCUGCCGCCCCCUGUGGGGGGGUGGUGGGGCGCGGCGGGUGGUAGGGGAGCGUCCCGCGCGGGGUGAAGCCGUCGGGUGACCGGGGGUGGACGGCGCGGGAGUGAGAAUGCAGGCAUGAGUAGCGAUACUGGGGUGGGAGUCCCCAGCGCCGUAUGACCAAGGGUUCCAGGGCCAGGCUGGUCCGCCCUGGGUGAGUCGGGACCUAAGGCGAGGCCGACGGGCGUAGUCGAUGGAUGACGGGUUGAUAUUCCCGUACCGGACCGGAUACCGACCGUGCCGACGCGCGGGUGCUGACCCACGCCCCGCGCCGCCCGUGUACGCCUCCGCGUCCCGGUCUUCGGGCCGGGCGGGGGCGGGGCGGCGGGGGUCUGGGGACCCUCCGCGCAGGUAGGCAAGCGUAUUAACAGGGGUGACGCGCAGUGGUGGCCCCGCGGGUCUGAUGGCUCGGCCCGUUCAAGCGCGCGGCCCGCCGCCCAGGCAAAUCCGGGCGGCUGCCUUCGAUGGCGGGGGUGAGGCGCGAUGGUGACCCGGCCCGGUGGGGUCGGGGAAGUAGGGUGAUCCUGUGGCGCCGAGAAAAGCCUCGACGCGAGGGGCCGGUCCGCCCGUACCCCAAACCGACACAGGUGGUCGGGCAGAGCAUGCCCAGGCGCACGGGCGAACCGUGGUGAAGGAACUCGGCAAAACGCCCCCGUAACUUCGGGAGAAGGGGGGCCCGAACCCUGAAACGGCUGGCCCGUUGGGGGUGAGGGUCGCAGAGGCCAGGGGGGAGCGACUGUUUACUAAAAACACAGGUCCGUGCGAAGCCGCAAGGCGAUGUAUACGGACUGACGCCUGCCCGGUGCUGGAAGGUCAAGAGGACCCGUCAGCCCCCCUUGCGGGGGUGAAGCGGUGAAUUCAAGCCCCAGUGAACGGCGGUGGUAACUAUAACCAUCCUAAGGUAGCGAAAUUCCUUGUCGGGUAAGUUCCGACCUGCACGAAUGGCGUAACGACUCCCCCGCUGUCUCCACCACGGGCCCGGCGAAAUUGCAUUACGAGUAAAGAUGCUCGUUGCGCGCAGAAGGACGGAAAGACCCCGGGACCUUCACUGCAGCUUGGUAUUGGCGCCCGGUUCGGCUCGUGCAGGAUAGGUGGGAGACUGUGAGGCCGCCGCGUCAGCGGUGCGCGGAGUCGUCGUUGAGAUACCACUCCGGCCGUGUCGUGCGCCUGAACCUGGGCCCGUGAUCCGGGUCAGGGACAGUGCCUGGCGGGUAGUUCAACUGGGGCGGUUGCCUCCCAAAGGGUAACGGAGGCGCUCAAGGGUCCCCUCAGCCUGGUCGGCAACCAGGUGUCGAGUGCAAGUGCACAAGGGGGCUUGACUGCGAGACCGACGGGUCGGGCAGGUGC
rnacentral:rRNA from 1 species